rnacentral:rRNA from 1 species
UAUGGCUGUCGUCAGCUCGUGUCGUGAGAUGUUCGGUUAAGUCCGGCAACGAGCGCAACCCACAUCCUUAGUUGCCAGCAGUUCGGCUGGGCACUCUAGGGAAACUGCCCGUGAUAAGCGGGAGGAAGGUGUGGAUGACGUCAAGUCCUCAUGGCCCUUACGGGUUGGGCUACACACGUGCUACAAUGGCAGUGACAAUGGGUUAAUCCCAAAAAACUGUCUCAGUUCGGAUUGGGGUCUGCAACUCGACCCCAUGAAGUCGGAAUCGCUAGUAAUCGCGUAACAGCAUGACGCGGUGAAUACGUUCCCGGGCCUUGUACACACCGCCCGUGGGGCGGGGGCGGCGGGCCGGGCGCGGGGCGCGGCGGGCG